UACGGAGGAUGCGAGCGUUAUCCGGAUUUAUUGGGUUUAAAGGGUGCGUAGGCGGGAUGCCAAGUCAGCGGUAAAAAUGCGGUGCUCAACGCCGUCGAGCCGUUGAAACUGGCGUUCUUGAGUGGGCGAGAAGUAUGCGGAAUGCGUGGUGUAGCGGUGAAAUGCAUAGAUAUCACGCAGAACUCCGAUUGCGAAGGCAGUAUACCGGCGCCCUACUGACGCUGAGGCACGAAAGCGUGGGUAUCGAACAGG
rnacentral:rRNA from 1 species